GACGAACGCUGGCGGCGUGCUUAACACAUGCAAGUCGAACGGAAAGGCCCUGCUUUUGUGGGGUGCUCGAGUGGCGAACGGGUGAGUAACACGUGAGUAACCUGCCCUUGACUUUGGGAUAACUUCAGGAAACUGGGGCUAAUACCGGAUAGGAGAUCCUGCUGCACGGUGGGGGUUGGAAAGUGUCGGCGGUGGGGGAUGGACUCGCGGCUUAUCAGCUAGUUGGUGGGGUAGUGGCUUACCAAGGCUUUGACGGGUAGCCGGCCUGAGAGGGUGACCGGCCACAUUGGGACUGAGAUACGGCCCAGACUCCUACGGGAGGCAGCAGUGGGGAAUAUUGCACAAUGGGCGGAAGCCUGAUGCAGCAACGCCGCGUGCGGGAUAACGGCCUUCGGGUUGUAAACCGCUUUCGCCUGUGACGAAGCGUGAGUGACGGUAAUGGGUAAAGAAGCACCGGCUAACUACGUG
rnacentral:rRNA from 1 species